AACUAAACUCAAUUAUACUAUUAAAAACCACAAAAACAGUAGAAAACCAAUACACCUCAAGCAAGCAAGAAGAGCAAGGAAAAGAUAUCUUGAAUGGCUCGUGUGGUUUCAAACCCUUUAGGACUCCAUAGAUUCCGGCCAUAUCUUCAUGGCUCAUAUGGCUUCAAAACCUCUUUUCACUUUCAAAGUAAACCUCGUAAAUUCCCAACUGUAGUAAUAGCUUGCCAAACAGAACCGAAACCCACUGAAACCUCCACAACUGAUAAGGCUCUUGUUGAACCCACUUCCUCAAUAAGUUAUACUAAAGGUGAUGUUGAGGUUUCAAGUUCGUCACCGGUUUCUGGGUUGCCUGAAUUUCCAAAUAAAGAUGUAAAUAAGCAAAUAGGAGUCAUUUCUGUUCUUGCUGCUGUGGGUCUUUUCUUAUCUGCAAGGUUGGAUUUUGGUGUUUCUUUGAAGGAUCUCUCUGCUGCUGCUGUUCCUUAUGAAGAGGCUCUCUCCAAUGGGAAACCCACUGUUGUCGAGUUCUAUGCUGAUUGGUGUGAAGUAUGUCGAGAGCUAGCUCCAGAUGUUUACAAAGUCGAGCAGCAGUUCAAGGAUAGGGUUAAUUUUGUUAUGCUGAAUGUUGACAACACGAAAUGGGAACAAGAGCUUGAUGAGUUUGGUGUUGAGGGUAUUCCACAUUUUGCAUUCCUUGACAAAGAAGGGAACGAGGAGGGUAAUGUAGUUGGUAGAUUUCCCAGGCAGUACCUCCUUGAGAAUGUGGAUGCUCUUGCCCGUGGGAAAGCAAGUGUUCCUCAUGCUCGUGUUGUUGGACAAUACUCAAGUGCUGAAUCCAGGAAGGUGCACCAAGUUGUUGAUCCUAGAAGUCAUGGAUAGAUGAUAUUUCUAGUUGAAAAUAACCCGAGGGCUUUACUCCCGAAUUACAGGUACAAGGUUGAAAUUCAAAAUCGAACUUGACUAACUGUCCUUGUUCAUUGCCUAGAAUCAAUUGUUACCUUCUGCAAAUUUAUACAUUUUCUACAGGUGCAUCGUGCCACAGAUUAUCCAUUUUAUACUUACAGUAGCCAUCUUCAUUGCAUACUCUCACUAUUUUGGAAUCUUUUCUAUGUUCAAGUCCUAGACGGGAUCUCUUUGUAAUUAAUCUUCUUUACAGCCGAGAGCAUUUUUUUUGCAACAUGGAUAAUUGGAUAUUAAUCUUUGUUAUAAACCAGAGCAUUCUUA